CAGAAUUAUUGCGCGCAGCAAAACGGGCAUCUUAUCUACGUGAACACUGCUGAGGAAAACCUUUUUAUCGUUGACAUCCUACAUAAAACUAAAGCUUCUUCCAGCUGGGUUGGAAUAUCUGACAUGGAUGCAGAGGGAUUAUGGCAGUGGUACGGUACGUCACAGAAACCAGAAUUCACCUACUGGUUCCCAGGGGAACCAGGGGGAGGUCAGCCUGAAGACUGUGGGGUUUAUACUGCCCAUCAUCCGGACUUUAAAUGGGAUGAUUACUCAUGUGACCAUCACUUUCAACCAAUCUGUGAAUCAAGUACCAAUGGCGUUGAUUCAAUUGUCGGCAAAUAAGUAAAUGUAUGUGAAAUAUAGCUGUAAAGCAAUUAAUAAAUUAUUGAAAAAGCAGA